AGAGUUUGAUCCUGGCUCAGGACGAACGCUGGCGGCGUGCUUAACACAUGCAAGUCGAACGGAAAGGCCCUUCGGGGUACUCGAGUGGCGAACGGGUGAGUAACACGUGGGUGAUCUGCCCUGCACUUUGGGAUAAGCCUGGGAAACUGGGUCUAAUACCGAAUAUGACCACGCUCUUCAUGGGGUGUGGUGGAAAGCUUUUGCGGUGUGGGAUGGGCCCGCGGCCUAUCAGCUUGUUGGUGGGGUAAUGGCCUACCAAGGCGACGACGGGUAGCCGGCCUGAGAGGGUGACCGGCCACACUGGGACUGAGAUACGGCCCAGACUCCUACGGGAGGCAGCAGUGGGGAAUAUUGCACAAUGGGCGCAAGCCUGAUGCAGCGACGCCGCGUGAGGGAUGACGGCCUUCGGGUUGUAAACCUCUUUCACCAGGGACGAAGCGCAAGUGACGGUACCUGGAGAAGAAGCACCGGCCAACUACGUGCCAGCAGCCGCGGUAAUACGUAGGGUGCGAGCGUUGUCCGGAAUUACUGGGCGUAAAGAGCUCGUAGGUGGUUUGUCGCGUUGUUCGUGAAAACUCACAGCUUAACUGUGGGCGUGCGGGCGAUACGGGCAGACUAGAGUACUGCAGGGGAGACUGGAAUUCCUGGUGUAGCGGUGGAAUGCGCAGAUAUCAGGAGGAACACCGGUGGCGAAGGCGGGUCUCUGGGCAGUAACUGACGCUGAGGAGCGAAAGCGUGGGGAGCGAACAGGAUUAGAUACCCUGGUAGUCCAA
rnacentral:rRNA from 1 species